CUGUCAAACUCAUCACCUGUCCUAUAGCUACACCUGAUUUUUAAAACCCAACGGCACUUUUAAGAGCCAACCUCUAUCUCUUUAUUUUCUAUAUCUUACAUCCUCUCUGUUCUCAAUAUCUAUAUUUCUGUCCAUCUCUUCAGUCUUUAUCAGUCUCACAUCUAUUGCUCUUUCUUUUAUCCCUGUCUGUCUUUGUCUACCUGUCUUACCCAUCUUUGUCAGUCUGUCUGUCUGUAUCUGACUGCAUUGCAAUGGCCACCAAGACAACUUGAUUCAAAGGAUCCCCACUACAAAGAGGGGAGACGCAUGGCUCUGGAGCUGAAACAUGGACACAUUUUAGCUGAAGCCAAGAGAGCAGCUGAUGAGAGAAAACGUGUACGAGACCCUCCACACACCUCUAAAAGGGACUCUGUAGGACAUGGUAAGCCGAGGGGAAGGCGAGGAGGGCGACGCCAUGCCUCCGCUACAGCCACAUAUCCCACGUUUGAGUGCUCCCUGUCAUCCAGUGUUGAGGUUCCUUUUACUGCAACCUCAACAAAACUAAAUCCUCAAGAGGAAUUUGAAAAAAAUAUGGAGAGGCUCUCUGAUAUUUUGGCGUCAUGUCCUUCUGCUGCUCAGCCUCAAAGUAGCUCUGCAUCAUCAUGGUCUUUUCGGCAGCAGAAAGCCUCAGAGCGCUGGAAAGAAGCAAGACCAUACCACCUAAAAUGCCUUAUUUCAAAAGAGGCUGUUGGUCAUCCCGUGUGGCCUUUGCAACAAGCCUGCUGUUAUUAGGUGCAGAGAGUCUUCCUGAGGAGUGGUUCUGUGGGGACUGUGAUGUAUUGCAUCACAAAAAACAGCCACUCCACAACAGGGAGUGCGUGAUUUGUGUUUUUUUUGAAGCCAUUCCUCCAACCACAUGCAUCAUCAAAGGGGAAGAUGGAUAUUGCACCCAUGAGCAAGCUUGCAUUUUGCCAACUGUGAAGAUGCCAGGCUGCUCCUGUGGAGGCACAAACUUCACUGUGUUACCAGGCAAACCAGUGAUUUUAAUUACCAUCAAUGGGCGUUUUGACUUGCAUCAGCCACUGUAUGAAUGUCAAACAUGCCAGCAGCAAUGGACCCCUGACUUUAAAGACCUCCUAAGAAGUGGAUAUUGGCCAGCCUCCAUCACCAAUUCCACACUUUAUACACUGGACCUCUUGAGCUCCCUUCAGGAACUCAAGAUCAUAUCUCCAGGAUUCUCCAGACAAGCCUUCGCAAAGCUGCUGGAGCAUCGCACUAAGUGUGGAGGAAGAUCUGGACCUAUCAACGGCGAUGCACUGCAGCGCAGUUUUUUAGAGCUUUCAUAUGCAUCAUUUGAGGAAGACCAGCUCUGCUGUAGUGCUCCUUUCACCUUCUCAGCCUGCACACCAGAAAUGUUGGCUGUUUCAGCAGAUGGAAAAUAGAAAGCUAUAUCGCUUUCGCCGAAACGGAAGCUCUGAUGAUCCUGGCUUUUUUGAGGGGCUCUUUGUGGCUGAAGACAGUGUGGUGUCUAGAUUUGUCGACACCAUACAGAAAGCAGUGAAAAAUGCAAGUUGACAAAAUAGUUGUUACAAUAAUAACUGUAACCCCCACUUCAAUUACUUCUGCCUACCAAUUACAAAAUCAAAUUGAGAGAAUAAAUGCCAUAUAUAGAAUGACACCAUUGCUUUUAUUUGAUUUGUCAUGUUUGUUUUGUGUGUCAGACACAGGGUAGAGGCACAUGUGGGGACUCCCAAUGGACAGCAGCGAGGGAAACUUCAAGGAGGGCUUCAAAAUUGGACGAAGAGGGGAUGGAGGUUGCUGUGCGUCGCCAUGGGUUCCUUUUGAAAGCCCUUAAUAUGUACAGGGGAGAGAUAUUUGCCUACCCUCUGUACCUUCAAAAGGAGCUCAUGCCAGCCAAGGCACAAUUCUUCGCAAUGGAUGUGGCAUGCAAAUACUGGCCAUACCUGGAGAAAGUUGCUAGUGUCCUUCCUGCUCUUCAGGAGCUGACCACUCUGAAACCCUUUCUCAGUGUAAUGCAUGCUCGAGCCCAUGCUACUAAGUGUGAGAUUAAUUGGAGUGGCAGGAACCAGGAAGGAGCAGGGACAACCGCUGGUGAGGAGGUGGAGCAAGUGAACAGUUAUCUUUCACGUUGUGCCCUGAUGAUCAAAUACAUGUCAAAAGCAGCACGGGUGGACAUGCUUACAUUGCAUGUAAUGGGGUGGAACGAGAAAAAAAUCUCUCUUUACAUCAGGCACUUUCCACAAGAUAUGUGAAGACUUGUCAGAGACUCUAUGAUGAGACUGCAAGGCUAGCUGACCUAAAAACAAAGCUAGAUUGCACAGAUGAAUUGGUAUAACUGUGGCUAUCUGAUGUAAAGGAAUGGGCAGCUGGUGAGACACCUGAUACAUCUCGUGCCAGUCAAGGCAUAACACACAGAGGAAUUCAGCAAUCAAUUGAGGGGCUCUACCUUAGUGUGAGGCACCGGAAGCGAACCCUCUACCGUCAGAAUGGUAUAACUCUACAAUAUAAUAGGUUGAUAAAUUCAAGCUACUGUAUGCAUCCUACUCCACCAACAUGGAAUUAGCAAAUAAUGUAGUAGCACAGUUCAGCUCAAUCAUUGAAUUCUGUUCUUUAAAUGACCA